AUUGAACGCUGGCGGCAUGCCUUACACAUGCAAGUCGAACGGCAGCACGGGAGCAAUCCUGGUGGCGAGUGGCGAACGGGUGAGUAAUAUAUCGGAACGUGCCCGGUCGUGGGGAUAACGUAGCGAAAGCUACGCUAAUACCGCAUACGAUCUACGGAUGAAAGCGGGGGAUCGCAAGACCUCGCGCGAUUGGAGCGGCCGAUAUCAGAUUAGGUAGUUGGUGAGGUAAAGGCUCACCAAGCCGACGAUCUGUAGCUGGUCUGAGAGGACGACCAGCCACACUGGGACUGAGACACGGCCCAGACUCCUACGGGAGGCAGCAGUGGGGAAUUUUGGACAAUGGGCGCAAGCCUGAUCCAGCAAUGCCGCGUGCAGGAUGAAGGCCUCGGUUGUAACUAG
rnacentral:rRNA from 1 species